rnacentral:rRNA from 1 species
GAAAGUAAGAUUAAUACCCGGCGGUCUCGGACGGCCGCAUGACUGUCCGAGUGAAGAUUUAUCGGUAUGAGAUGGCGAUGCGUCCCAUUAGCUUGUUGGUGAGGUAACGGCUCACCAAGGCAUCGAUGGGUAGGGGUUCUGAGAGGAAGGUCCCCCACAUUGGAACUGAGACACGGUCCAAACUCCUACGGGAGGCAGCAGUGAGGAAUAUUGGUCAAUGGACGAAAGUCUGAACCAGCCAAGUAGCGUGCAGGACGACGGCCCUCUGGGUUGUAAACUGCUUUUAGUUGGGAAUAAAAAGAGGGACGUGUCCCUUAUUGUAUGUACCAUCAGAAAAAGGACCGGCUAAUUCCGUGCCAGCAGCCGCGGUAAUACGGAAGGUCCAGGCGUUAUCCGGAUUUAUUGGGUUUAAAGGGAGCGCAGGCGGCGGCGUAAGUCAGUUGUGAAAUCGUGCGGCUUAACCGUGCAAUUGCAGUUGAUACUGCGUCGCUUGAGUGCACACAGGGAUGUUGGAAUUCAUGGUGUAGCGGUGAAAUGCUUAGAUAUCAUGAAGAACUCCGAUCGCGAAGGCAUAUGUCCGGAGUGCAACUGACGCUGAGGCUCGAAAGUGUGGGUAUCAAACAGGAUUAGAUACCCUGGUAGUCCACACAGUAAACGAUGAAUACUCGCGGUUGGUUCGUUAGAAUCAGCCGC